AGUGAGCGCUGGCGGCGUGCUUAACACAUGCAAGUCGAACGAGAACGGAUUAUAGCUUGCUAUAAUUGUCAGCUAAGUGGCGCACGGGUGAGUAAUGUAUAGGUAAUAUGCCUCUUACUAAGGGAUAACAAUUGGAAACGAUUGCUAAUACCUUAUAUUCCUUUUUAUCAAAAGAUAAAACGGGAAAGAUUUAUUGGUAAGAGAUUAGCCUGUAUUGUAUCAGUUAGUUGGUGGGGUAAUGGCCUACCAAGACGAUGACGCAUAACUGGUUUGAGAGGAUGAUCAGUCACACUGGAACUGAGACACGGUCCAGACUCCUACGGGAGGCAGCAGUGGGGAAUAUUGCACAAUGGACGAAAGUCUGAUGCAGCAACGCCGCGUGGAGGAUGACACAUUUCGGUGCGUAAACUCCUUUUAUAUAAGAAGAUAAUGACGGUAUUAUAUGAAUAAGCACCGGCUAACUCCGUGCCAGCAGCCGCCGUAA
rnacentral:rRNA from 1 species